rnacentral:rRNA from 1 species
UGAACGCUGGCGGCGUGCCUAAUACAUGCACGUCGAGCGAACGGACGAGAAGCUUGCUUCUCUGAUGUUAGCGGCGGACGGGUGAGUAACACGUGGAUAACCUACCUAUAAGACUGGGAUAACUUCGGGAAACCGGAGCUAAUACCGGAUAAUAUUUUGAACCGCAUGGUUCAAAAGUGAAAGACGGUCUUGCUGUCACUUAUAGAUGGAUCCGCGCUGCAUUAGCUAGUUGGUAAGGUAACGGCUUACCAAGGCAACGAUGCAUAGCCGACCUGAGAGGGUGAUCGGCCACACUGGAACUGAGACACGGUCCAGACUCCUACGGGAGGCAGCAGUAGGGAAUCUUCCGCAAUGGGCGAAAGCCUGACGAAGCAACGCCGCGUGAGUGAUGAAGGUCUUCGGAUCGUAAAACUCUGUUAUUAGGGAAGAACAUAUGUGUAAGUAACUGUGCACAUCUUGACGGUACCUAAUCAGAAAGCCACGGCUAACUACGUG